UUGGCCUGAAUUAAUUUAAGCAGGAAGUUAAUGCUGAGGGAAGGGCUACUCUUCUUUAAGUUCUUUAGAAUAAGCUGUCGCUGACCACUAAUAGAGCAGAGCUCUUUAGAACUGAUAAAAUGAACAAUCGUCACCAAAAUGUCCUUCGUGUUCUUCCAGCCCUCGGCCAAGACAAGAAUCAAUACAAAUACAGUUCAUAAGCCUCCUCUUCAGAUAAAUCAUCUCUCAAAAAAUCAGCAGAAUUGUGGAUAAGGAAAGAGCAUAACCAAUCCUUCCUUUGCUGGCUAAAUCUAUCCUGAUAUAAGCCAAACUACUUUGGAAAAUUUAGCUGUUAAAUCAAGAUUCCUUAAUCCAAGAUUUGGGAGAAUACAUACUUGAUGUUUUGGUAGGUAGGCAUGCCAAUUCUACAGUAAUAGAGGCCUUAUAUGUAUUGAAAUGGAAGCAGGACUGUCGCUUCUGAUGCUCUUAAAGACCUUGCCUACCAGGAGAAUAAAUGAGAAUCAAUGUACAAAGGAAGUCAGGAAGAGCUGCUUAAGAGUUUGCUGAACAGAGAUGUCGUUUUUGAUAAAUUCUUCAUGUCAAAUGCCAACAAGCUUAAGAAAGGAACGAGUGCUGUAAUUGUGAUAUCCUGUUCAGGUUACACUACCCUCAGGGAAACUGCUACUAAUGACUGAAUUAAUUAAUGAGAAAUUGUUUUAUGUGUUGCAGAAUUUAAACCAGCCCCCUGCCCCAGUUUCCCUGUGCUUAUUUUUGCAGCAGUGUGAACAAAGAAGCCAUUUGCCAAUGCUUUGUUAACCUGUUACUCUCGCUAAGCGUUUCCGUGUAGCUGUGGAAGGCAGGGCUGUGUGCAUUUCAGCUGGGAGCAAUGUCUUCUUGGAUCACAUACUCUGCAAUCAUUGUGUAGAAAAGUGUAAAACAAGUACCUUCAGAAUCCAUGAUUGCAAUUUUUGGCAUUAUAACCACUUCCUUCCAAGCUUGUCUACAUGACUUGUGCCAUGGCGCUGUGGGAACAGAUAUGAAGAGAUAAAUUCAGUGGUGCAUCUUCCUAUUUGGCUUCAUACUUUUAGAACACCUUGGAAAUGCAAAAGCCAGUGCAUUAUUUAUAUCACAGGGGUUUUUUGUUGUUCCUCUUCAGUAUCAUCUAAGUA